AUGAAGAAGACUGAAAUAUUCUUGGUGCUGGUUUUUGAGGCAUUGGUUUCUUUAUUUUUUAUUUAUUUAUUAUUGCUUGUUUCUAGCAAGAAGAUCCCUGGGACCAAGAUUUCAGAAGACUGCUUUCCAAACUGUGGCGGCUGCAAAAUAGGAGGCUCAGAAAAGCAGGAGCUGAUACAGAAAGCUGGUGCGUGUUACUGGCCGGCAGCUGUGGUUCACAUCAGGAGCGGAUCCAUUUCUGGGGUUAGAAACAAAACUUAUCUGUCUCCUGCUCUCUUGAGGUGGUACACGAGCAAAUUGAUGAAGAAACCAUUGACAAAGUCCUGAUGGUAGAGGGGGUGAUGAUGAAUUGGGAGCCAUUACAGCAGGUAUUGUGUGCAUUCUACCAGCUGACGCUCAACUUCCCUUCUAAUGCCAGUUGCCUUCUAUCAUCUGGUACACGGAUUGGAUGCAGGCUUCUCCCAAUUAAAGCCAGUGAGGUCAUAUACUUCCUAAUUACAGGCUAGUCCAUUGUGUCUAAAUGUGACAGACAUGUGCUUGGAAAAUUGCUUUUAAUGCCUAAAUAAACAAGAUGAACUAAAUGGCA
rnacentral:lncRNA from 1 species